AUGGAGGGGAAAGGCUCAUCCAGGUGUGUUCAGCCUUGCAGGGCACCUGGGAUGGCAGGAGACCCAAAUCCCAACCUAAAAACGCUGGGUGCUGACGAGGAAAUCUCUGUCCACAUCGUCACUUUGUGACAUCUCCAAAGCCUGGCUCCGGCAGGGAGGGAGAGGCCGGAGCGGGAACAGCUCCGUGGAGUUUUCCAGAUGAAAAACACAGGCUACUUGUUCAGCCCUGGAGUUUAGUGCCCCUUUCCUUGGGAAUCUCUUGGCCUCUGGAAUGCAAGGCCCCAAUCCUUUGAGAGCAGAACUGUGAGGAGACACAGCAGAUCCAGGACUGCCAGGAUCCUGAGGCAGAGCAUUUUCUGGGAAGGAACAAGGAGAGAAACUCUCCAAGGAAAUGCAGAACUCCUGGGCACAGCAGAACCCUGCUGGUGGAGCAGAUGGGAAUGCUCCUCAUCCUCAGGAAUGCUCCUGUUCCUCCUGGAACAGGAGACUCUGCUGGCCUGAGCCCACCAGCAUCAAAUUCCACCCUCUUCUGGGAUCAUGGAAUUACUAAGGUUGGAAAAACCUUCUGAGAUCAUCGAGUCUGACCGUUCCCAACACUGCCAUCCUUGGAUUUUCCAGAGGUUAAAUUCUUAGCAGGGAAAGAAACUUGGAAGGGA